CCCUUUUAUCUCCAAUCAAAUGUGAUAAAAGAAAAUAAUAUGAAAUUAAAAGAAAAUAAAAAGAGAAAGGAAACUUACCAUUUUAUUUUGGUUAGGCUUUAUUGAGAGAAUUAAGAUAAAGGGGGAAUGAAAAAUUGGGAAGGGCCAUUCUUGCUCUUGGCUGUCGUGUUCUAGAGAGAGGAUAGAGAGAGAGAGUGUGGCGUGAUAAAGAGAGAGCGAGAAGAAGAAAGAAAGGAAGAAGAAGAAGACGAAGAAGUAGAAGGAGAAGAAGAAAAGAUCAAUCUUAGGAAAACCCCUAGGGUUUGAGCAAGGAGGUGGUCCUAGUUGGGUUCUUGAUUUCUAUCAAGAGAGGUAGCAAAUAGGUUUCUCUGUGGCAUGCGUGGUGAUGUGGGGAGUUCUGUCGUCCUGGUGUGUAUGGCAUGGGGCAUCAUAUGAACGAGAAACGAUAAACUUUAAACGCCAUUUUUAAUAAUGUUAUGUUUAAUGGGAUUUUCUUAAAAAAUUUCAGUGGGACUUGAACUUUUGUUUGUUUUAGUACUUUGCAUAAAACUAGUAUUUUCUUUUUAAACUUUUGGGCCCAAUUUGCAUAUUUUAAGUAAGACCCCACUGAAACCUUUAUAAUAAGUGGCUUUCUAUUAUAAACCAUUGAAAAUGUGAAUGUUUUAUU